GGUAAUACGUAAGGACCGAGCGUUGUCCGGAAUCAUUGGGCGUAAAGGGUACGUAGGCGGCUAGAAAAGUUAGAAGUCAAAGGCUAUAGCUCAACUAUAGUAAGCUUCUAAAACUAUUUAGCUUGAGAAAUGGAAGGGAAAGUGGAAUUCCUAGUGUAGCGGUGGAAUGCGCAGAUAUUAGGAAGAAUACCGGUGGCGAAGGCGACUUUCUGGCCAUUAUCUGACGCUGAGGUACGAAAGCGUGGGUAGCAAACAGGAUUAGAUACCCUGGUAGUCCACGCCGUAAACGAUGAGUGUUAGGUGUCUGGAGUCAAAUCUGGGUGCCGCAGCAAACGCAUUAAACACUCCGCCUGGGGAGUACGCACGCAAGUGUGAAACUCAAAGGAAUUGACGGGGACCCGCACAAGCAGCGGAGCAUGUGGUUUAAUUCGACGCAACGCGAAGAACCUUACCAAGUCUUGACAUAUUACAGAAGCAGUUAGAGAUAAUUGCUUACAUCUUCGGAUGACUGUAAUACAGGUGGUGCAUGGUUGUCGUCAGUUCGUGCUGUGA
rnacentral:rRNA from 1 species